UGUACUCAUAAACCAGGCCCACACAGAUGAGACGCUUUACACAAGGAGGGAAAGGCCGCCCAGAAACAUCCUCUGGAGAAAUACUCAGUUGGCCGGGCUCUGCCUCCAGUGCCGGAACAGCAGGAUGACUUCUGCGUUACCGACGAUCUGUUCACCACACUUCACUAGAGCCUUCCCACACCUCCGCUUAGGAAGGUCACAAACCCAUUUGGGUUAAAUGCUCUUGCAGCUUACUGGAAACCCACUGGCAGCUGAUGUUGUGUUUUGAGAAUAAACGAUGUAACCUGUAAGAUUUCCAGAAGGCGUAUUUUCUUCUCCAACAAAGAGCAGCCCGCUGACUGAGCUGUGGACCGCAAGCAGUGGCAGCCCCUUGGCUGCUCGCUAUUUUGAGUCUGGAGAGAUUGUUCACGAGGAGCACAGGCUGUUUGGCAACAUCAGAGCUCUACCCAGAAAGCAAAAACAAAAUCCGGGUGGUAAGGAAGAGCCAGGCAGGAAUGCCUAUAUACCUGAGGACCCUGAGCCCCGUACUCUGUCUCCUUGGUGAAGUGCCAGCCCUCCCACUUCUCGGCUCGCAGGUCUUAAAGACAGUAUUUUACUGCUUUUCCGCAGCAUUUUCACGGCAUUUUGUUAGGAUGGUGGUUUGUUCACAUUCCCGAGGGUUUUCUCUUGGCAAGGAUCAGUGCAGCCAGGUAACUGCUCUUCCUCUUAAUUAAUCUUAAUUAGAUUACAUGUAACAGCAUGGCUGCACAGUGAGGCCUGCCGAUCUGCUGACAAGGAGCAGCUUACCCUGUGAACGAACAGGCCUGACUGGGAUUAUGGACGCGAGCCGUGUAAAUGGGAACGGAGCCCCCUAAGCCAACAGUCCUCGGCCUGCUGACACAGCUGCACAGAGUACCCAGGCACUGCAGCGCCGAAGGAGAUUCAGUUACAGUGAAGAAAUCAUAACAAAGACAGGAAACAGAUCAGCACACUCUGGAUUUAACACCCUCCCUGGGGAGCUCUGCUGAUUUCUAGGCUGCAGAUGUUUUUAACCCUGCCUUGAAGAAUGUCCAUGUCACAUGCUGGAGCUGAUGAAGGCAAGUACAGUAUUGAAGCAAAGCACACAUAUCCCAAAAGUGGACCCAAAUCAUGUUGAUUAGAGCUUCCCCCAUCUCUGCGAAAAGAGGACACAACUGUUAAAAUCUGUAAACGAUCUUUUGGUGGAGUUUGAUGAGCAGUUGCGAAAUGGAUGCCCACAAAGCCUGGUGUUUAUUUACUUAAAAUGAGGUGUAAAUGAAGCUCACUAGACUCUUCCAUGAAGGGCUUCCUAGUCCCAAGAGUUGCAAAAUGUCUCAGCUGUUUCCGACUUUUUGCUCUUUGCAGCACUCUAUACCAAGCGGAGUAGAAUGAAAACAAGCCUCCUUCAUUGCGCAUUUUUCAAAGUGACUGCCAACAAAAGCUGGAUCCUUGACUGUUUAGUGCUUACGAUUGAGGAGACGGCGUAUCUUACUGGCAGGAUAUAGGUAGUUUUCCAACAGUUACAGUAAGUUUGCAGAAUUGGAAAUUUAUAUAAGUUCUUCUGAGUUACAUAAACAUGUCUAUGACUGCACAAAGAUGUGGUUCGCCAGAAGCACUGCAUUUUCUUUGUGGCAAAGGGACUGGCCAUACCCUGCCAGAAAAGUUCAGGCAAGAGGAGGACUCUAAUGUUAGAUAAACCUCAAGUCCAAAAGUUGGAAAAAGAGAAAAACGUUCAGCUCACUUGUGAUCUGAUUUUGUCCCAUUUGCAGUUCUUUUACUGUUUUCCAUGAGUAUUUUUAAGAAUGCUCACAGAGGACCUCAUCAGGGACCGGAAACUCUAGCACUCAUUUCCUAACAUACCCUUGGAGCAUCUCACUAAGGACAUAUUUUUGCUUCUCAUGUUAAGAAAGCAAAAGGAUCAUUUUAACUGCUACUGAAUUUAAUCCUGUGUUUGAACAGACACAGAUCUCUGGUAAUUCAGAGCAACUGUCUUUUCCCCAGCUGAGCUUGCUGACUUACCCAGACAACUGAGAACACACGUGGGUGGGCUGAGGAGGGGAGAGGAGAAGUGCACCUGAACGAUCCAGGUUGGCCCUCUCCUCUAGCCACAGGCAUUGGCAAACUGCUGUUCCUGGUUGUCCAGACCCGUUUUCUGAAGGCAGCCUUCGCUUCUGUGAAUCGGUGGCAGCUCAAGACCUAGGAGCUGAGGACCCCCUGAUGGGGUAGCUUCUCCCACUACUGGACAGACCACCUGUUCAAAAGCCCCUUGUUAUUUUGGACCUCUUCAUCUAAACUGUCGUCUUCCAGACCUUAGGAUCACAGAUUCUGUCUCUAUAUGAUCACUCCUCAAGACUUCUCUCUCCCACGUGAAGCCAUUUUCCCCAGUUUCAUUUCUGGUCCACCACUGCACCUCGUGAACUUCUCAUUUUGCACAGGAGGUACUCAGAUAACUUCUUUUUGAGACAGGGUCUUGCUCUGUCACCCAGGCUGAGUGCAGUGGCACGAUCAUGGUUCAUUGCAGCCUUGACCUCCCAGGCUCAAGUGAUCUUCCCACCUCAGCCUUUCAAGUAGCUGGGACCACGGACAUGCUCCACCAUUCCAGGCUAAUUUUUUUAUUUUCUGUAGAGAUGGGGACUGGGGGCUGGGAGAGGUCUCCCUGUGUUGUCCAGGCUGGUCUCGAACUCCUGGACUCAAGCUAUCCUCCCUCCUUGGCCUCUUUAGCAGCCGGGAUUACAUGCAUGAGCCACCAGACCUGGCACUCAGAUAACUUUUACUUGCUAUCUGAAAAACUAGGUAGCUACAGCUGGAUCACCCAGACUCUAAUGAGGGGUCUGGAUUGAUUCAGGACAGGAUGGCUCUUAGGUACAGGCAGAGAAAAUCUCCUUAAGAUUUGAAAGAUGCCAACAAAACUUACUGUCCAGUCAAUGUCAAUCUGCCAUAAGUCUGGAAGGUCAUUUGCUGUGUCUUCUUUGGAGUUAAGCACUGCCCAUCAGAAAAGUCUACUUUUGAAUGAAUGACCACUUGGAAGAGUUAGCAUGCACAAUGUCUGGCACACAGUAAACCAUCAUGACCUCUCAGGACUUCCCAGGGGUACUGCCCUGAGGUUCCUCCUUUAAAAUGGCCAAGUGAUGAGUGAUGACUGAUUAGCUUGCCGAAUUCUUCACUUAAGAACUCAUCAGAGGAAAAAAAAGGAAAAAAGAAAAAAAAAAGAAAAUAGACUCGGAUAUUUUGAUCGGGCUGUGAGCUCAAGUAAGCAGCACAGUAAAACAGUAAGAACGUUUUUGACAAGAGACUUCAUUCAAACAUACGUGGAGUCCCCCUGCUGUCGGCCAAGAAUAAAAUAUGGGCCAGCUCGUACCUAAAUUUUAUUCUUCUUCCGUGGUCAUUCGGAAUGGGCCACAAGAAAGACCAGAAUUCUUCAUUUACUACACGCCUAAGGUUUUAUGGACUUUGUGUCACCUUUUGAAUCCCCCAUCCCCAGCCCAAGUUUCAUUUUACGCAUCAGUGAAAGCCUCAGCCAAGGGAAGAGGUUUUCUUCCCCGUGGAGUAGAAUGCAGGAAUUUAUCUGUCUUAAGGUCUUUAGUCAAGCUAAAUUAUGUUACCUGAGUAUGCUGCCAAAAUACAGGUCUGUUCUCUGUUUUGAAUCAUGAUAUCACUAGUAGUAACCUCAUGUCCAGACAUUUGAGAUUAAAAACACCAGUACAUUGCGUGUGUUUUACAAAAGACAGUUGCUAAGUAUGUUAUGCCUUCAAUAUAGCUUUCCUGACAACCUCAACAUUGACCUGCAACAAAAAGGCACGUGAGAAGCCCAGGGCCAACUCUCUAGAAUUAAGUAAUAUUCACACAUUAGCUGAAGGAUGACCCAGUCACCAACCUCCCCCAACAGUCUGCUAUGUGCAUCCUCUCUUCUUUCCUUUUUGGGUCUGCAGUGUCUACCGGUCACUCUCCUGGGUUAUACAACAUAGAUGGGCAUUAUCUCAGGCCAGCCCUUAUUAGGUGCACAUAUCACUCGGAGGGUCAGAGAAGCGCCGUAUCCAAUUAUCACAGGACUUUGCUUUAAUGUCUUCAUGGUCACGUUUCUAUUUGUGUGAUGAGCUAACUUUGAAUGAAGGUUGGUUGGUUGGUCAGUCAAGGCUCACUGCUUAAAGCUGACUGGCAUGUCUUUGACUCACCUUCUCACUCAAGGAACAAAUGGAUUCCUGGUCUUUCUGCAGUGAUGAAAAUAAUUGCUAAUAAUCGGCUGAGUUUACCCAAAGGAUGUUUAGACUGAUUAAUUUUAUUUUUCCAGUACUUCAAAAAACAUGCCUUGAAAAUCAUCUAUAACAGCAUUGUCCAAUAGAAAUAUAAUGCAAGCCACAUGUGUAAUUUAAAUUUUUUCUAGUAGCAAUAUUAAAAGGUAAAAGGAAACAGGUGAAAUGAUUUUUAAUAAUAUAUUUUAUUUAACCCAAUAGACACCAAACACUAUUAUCUCAACAUAUAAUCAACACAAAAUUAUUAUGAGAGGUU
rnacentral:lncRNA from 1 species